rnacentral:rRNA from 1 species
GACGAACGCUGGCGGCGUGCUUAACACAUGCAAGUCGAACGGAAAGGCCCUGCUUUUGUGGGGUGCUCGAGUGGCGAACGGGUGAGUAACACGUGAGUAACCUGCCCUUGACUUUGGGAUAACUUCAGGAAACUGGGGCUAAUACCGGAUAGGAGCUCCUGCUGCAUGGUGUGGGUUGGAAAGUUUCGGCGGUUGGGGAUGGACUCGCGGCUUAUGAGCUUGUUGGUGGGGUAGUGGCUUACCAAGUCUUUGACGGGUAGCCGGCCUGAGAGGGUGAACGGCGACAUGGGGACUGAGAGACGGACCAGACGCCUACGGGAGGCAGCAGGGGGGAGUAUUGCACAAUGGGCGGAAGCCUGAUGCAGCAACGCCGCGUGCGGGAUGACGGCCUUCGGGUUGAAAACCGCUUUGGACUGUGACGAAGAGUGAGUGACGGUAAUGGGUAAAGAAGCACCGGCUAACUACGUG